GGGAGUUCUCGCACGACGGUUCUCGCUCGUAUGCUCGGCAGAGCCGUCGUCAUUGGGCGUCGGGACGUCGCGACGACGCUCUUUUCCUCUCUCUUUCUCUCUCGUAUAUUACUAACACGCACGAACACGCGAAAACUCUUACUUUUUCUCAUUCUCGCUCUUUCUCUCUUUGUCUCUGUCUCUCUCUCUCUCUCUCGCUCUCUCAUUUAUGCUCACCUAACCCAAGGCUAUCGCGCGCGCACUCGUUGAACGUUUCCGCGCGCGGAUAAUCGCGCCGUUCCGUUCCGUUCCCCGUUCCGUGUCUGUCAGUUUGCGAGUAGCGUUCGCCGGUGCACGCGCGCGCGCGCGACCCGACGCACCACCAGUAGUGCGUCCUUUCGGUUCAUCGGGAGUUUUAUCGAAAUCUUGUGUCAUCGAGUACAGUUAUCUAUUAAUAGUAUAUAUUUAUACAUAUAUAUAUAUUCAUAGAUAAUUUACUUGCUAGAGAUUUUCAUUAAUCUCGUUAUCGAUUACGGGUAGUGUUGAAAAGAUUUUGUUAUUCGCGAAUAGCGAAUAUAAAAACGUGACAAACGCCGUAUGUUAUAUUCGUCCGUAUUUCGGCGUCGGGUGCGUCAAAAUCAGUGCGGCAAAGUUCGCGCGGGCUUUAAUCGUGCGCGCGGGCGCGCGCGCGCACACGCGACCGCUCGUGAUUAUUAUUUCGACUCUAUUGCAGAGAUCUGCACGCGAAGGUGGGAGGAAACGGUUCUGUUCCAUUUUAAUUUUAUCUUCUUCUUCUUCUUAUUUUUCUUUACUCACGGUGGUGUAUUAUAAUAAUAAUAAUAAUAAUAAUAAUACAUGUUGAAAAAUAAAAUUGGAAAGAAUCGAUCGUUCGGUUAUGAUCGUACGAUAUUUGUAAGCAUCGGUGCCGGUGAAUCACCCGAUGGGAGGUAAAAGAAGUCUUCUUCUCGAGUUAAUUACGAAGAAUGUUGGUACUCGCCUAGAUUGUCCUUUGGACAUCGGCGAUAUAUCGUGACAAGUGGAGGAGAACCUAUUGCAGGAUGGGAAGGACGACGUUGCGAGGAUCGAGCGACGAAGGACAGAUCGUUUUUGUCGCCGUCGCCGCCGUCGCAGACGUCCUUCUCCAGAGGAGACUUUCCAAAUUCGAAGAGAGGAUCGCAACUUCAAAAUUAUUCGGGAGAGCUUGAAAAUAAUCAUCGAGACAAGUUUACGGAUGAAGCUCGAUAAAGAAAUUGGUAGGAAAGGAGAAGGAGGUGGUGCUGGUGUUGGUAGUGGAAGAAGAAGAGAAGGUUGCGAAGAAGGUGGAAGAGGAGGAGGUGGAGGAGGAAGAGGAGGAGGAGGCAAGGAUUACCUUCCAAGAGGAAGGACGAGAGGACGAGUCAUGUCACAUGUCGUUCCUAUGCACCUUCCACGUUUCGCGCCAAUUGGCAAGUUGCUCGUCGUUGCGAUUCUCGUGUUCUUUUCUUGUGCUACUCGUUUCGCUCGUGCUAGCGAAUUCCCCGAAAGAGAAUGCUGCGUCUUCCCGAUACCCGAACCUACAGGAAGAUCCACAGCCGCACCUAUACCGACCGGCAGAAGUGGAUCAGAUAUCAAAAAGGGUGUUGCUAUAUUAAAUUGCCUCUACGCUCGUCAACUUUGUUUCGAGGAUCCAUCCUGUAGUGCUAUUCUUGAAAUAAUUCCACGCGUCUGCGGACCAGAAUUAGUGGCUUGUUCAACGGUGACGGUGACAAAGUGUCGUUCAGCACUUCAUAGUCUGCAAGCUUUCUCGUUCUUUCGACCCACGUGUCUUUGUAAGGAGCGUCACGUCGAUCCAGACUGCAAUAGUUUCCAAAAUUUCCUCUUCGAUCAUCCCUGCAUCGAUGUACAGAAAAAAGAUAAGGAGCAGUACCCAAUAGAACCUUUACCAACAUGUACCCACGCCAUGAACGAGUGUCAACGAGCGAAGCUGUGUAAUCAGAUCUUGGAGAACUUCAAAAACAGCUGUAAAGCACGAGAGGGCAAGUGCAGAAUGGAGAGUCGAGACGCUUGUCAUGACUCCUGGACGCAACUUCGAUUAUCAGCGGUCUUUGGUUGUAUAUGUCCAAACAAUCACGUAAAGAAACGAUGCGACAGGGUCUUCUCAUUGGUCAAUCAUAAUCCAUGCGUCGAAUAUCUGCCUUCCUCCGCCUCGGUAGACCUAUCGGGCACGGACUCAGCCCUCUAUCCAUUCGACCCACAACAGGAGAGCUACCAGGAGAUCUGGUUACCGCCGACCAGUAUGUAUCCCUAUUUUCUGUUCCCCGGGACCGCGCGCACCUCGUACCACGACUAUGAAAUACCGUACGAAGGCCAGGAACAGGAACAUCGCCGUCAGCACGGCCAUCGUCAUCAGCCCGGUCGCCAUCAAGAGGAACCGGAAAAGAUUGGCAAGCCAAGCGUGUUCGUCGUCGACGCGAACGAUCCGAGGAGGAAAGAUUUAAACAAAGCUGAUCCUCGUUACGAGGAUCGUUUCAUCGUGACCGACGACGAACACUUGGCUGGCCAGUUAAACCUUCCAGGUUCAAAGUUUGGCGACCGGAGGCAGAAGGGUGCCCAGGGAGACGUGAUCUUUCAAGAUUUCGAUGGCUCCUCCUCGUUCUCCAACAUCCAUUCCAUAUCUUCUUAUCCUUCGUUCCCUUCUUCCUCCUCUUCUUCUUCUUCUUCUUCUUCAUCUUCUUCUUCUUCUUCUUCUUCUUCUUCUUCUUCUUCUGACGCAUUUUCCAAGCAUGAUCGUGCCUCCAACACAGUGCACCUGCAGCCAAGGCACCCCCACCAAAGCGAGCAUGACGCGCACCUGCACCAUCACCAUCAUCACCAGCACCAACAGCACCACCACAACCACAAUCAGCACCACUACUACCACCAUCACCCUGCACCUGCACCGUCCCCGUCGUCUUCGUCUUCCUCGUCGUCGUCGUCGUCGUCGUCGUCUUCGUCGUCGUCAGGAUCCUCGUCCUCGUCAUCGUUGUCGUCGUCGAACGCGCACCCACCGCGACCGACGCCUACCGUUGACGAAACUAAACGAAUCGAGACACCUCAAGUCUCCCCACCAAAGAAAUUCGCACCGAGGCCAACCUACGAGCAUCGGGCGAUCGUCGAUCGCGUCGACGACGACCUCGAUGACAUCGAGUUCAGGAUCGGCGCUCUGCCAGUCGAUCGGUUCUUCGAUCUCCGUGAGGCUUUCGAAGGCUUCGUCGAUCAAGUGAAGGUCAUCUCUCAUCCGGAUAACUCAACGAGCUUUGAAGUAAUCGAGUCUCAAGUGGAGAAUCCAUUGAUCGAUGCCGAUCAUCAAGAUCUUCUCGCGAUGAAGCAAAUACCAGUGCCUGGAGAUCACCAUCAUCGAACUCAUCGGAAAAAGAAUCAGACCAUGGAGGAGAACGAUCAAGCUCUGCCAUCUGCAAAAUCGGAAAUUGACAAAAUUCAGCAACCACCGAAGUUGAUACUUCCAAGCACGUGUCAUCACGCAUACACAUCGUGCAAGAACGACCCGGAGUGCAAGGAAUUAUUACAGCCGGUCCUGAAAUAUUGUGGUUUGACGAGUUGCACGAGAAACGAAUGUAUGACAGCCCUACAACACUUCUAUAAAACGGCUAAUCACAAGCAUUCCAUCGAAAUAGCUUUCUGUUUGUGCCGAAAAACUGAUGGCAGAAAAGACGAGUGCAUAAUUGCUCAAGAAAAAAUGCAUCCUGCAUGUGCGCAACGUGUUGAAGGUGUCGAUAUGCCGACGUGUCAUAGUUUAGCAGAAAUUUGCAAGAAAAAUGAAGUCUGUCGGGCAAGAUUGGAGCGUUACGAACAGAGUUGUGCGGUAGACAGCGUAACGAAAAAAUGUGCUGGACCACCAUCAGAUUGUAGAAAAGCGAUGCUGGGUAUACUUGGUACCGAACUUCGUUCGAAUUGCGCUUGCAAAGGCACCGACUUUACGCAACUCUAUGACUGCCUUGGUUGGCAGAGACUCCUUUGGGUUAACCCGUGUGUAGUUGAAUCUCAAAAGGAUUACCACGUACGUCGAAAACACCAUCACUAUCCAAGAACAACGCCGAUUGGUACUAUACCAUCGACAACGACAACGAUGACAACAUUGUCGUCGACUACGAGAACACAUAUAAGCAUGACGGCGACUACGACGGUCACCGCGGUCGAGCGAGUUGAAGAUAAUCAACUACCGGAAGUAACGAGGUGGCCGACCACCGAACCCACGGAAACUUUAGAAAUCACGACUAACACUGUUAGCACGACACCGAGCACGACUACAACGACCACCACACCGCCUCGUUUUUGUGUUGUUCAAAGACCGAGACAGAGUCAUCAGUAUAUACGAGAGGGUAAAGGGAAAAGGCUUUAUCGCGAAGACGAACCAGAAUGUUCAGAGCUCUGCCAAUGUGGCGAAGGUGAAGUUCUUAUCUGCAAUACGAUCUGCGUCGAUUCGUCUCCUUGCAAAACGGACUUCGCAUACUACAACCAUGAGGCCCCAGCCUAUCAAGCCCAUCGUGGUCCAUGCCUUUGCUAUAGCGGUGGUUUCAUAUGUAUGCGUCCAUCACCUGGAGCGUACAGUAUACCGCACGGAGUUUUUAUGUUCUUGGGAUAUAGCGAGAAGGAUGAGACGUUGCUAAGGCCACACAAUAAUCUUACGGUUCUAGAUGCCGUGUCGUCUCUCGACAAUUUUAUGAGAGAGGAAGUCAAUAACCAGACUGUAUGCACGCUCUUCCUCUACAAUAUGACUCGAGAGAACGUGAUUGCAGUAGCACGUCUUGGUACGGACAAUCCACCCUUAAAUAGCAGUCAAGCUCAAAGCUUGCAACACCUCUUGCGAGUUAAGGUGAAAAUCCGUCUAAUUCGUCCUCAUGCAUAAAAUGAGGGGAGGAAUUGAAACGGCUGGAUGACGCUCCAUAAGGGGUGGUAGUGACGACAAGAGAGGGUAGAGGAUUGGAUAGAGAAAGGGAGGAUUUCUACCUGCAACCAAAGCCGAUUGACCGGCGCAAAAUGUCGCACAUUUAAAGUUCCGUUCACAUCGAACCGUACGGGAUACAUCGGCCGAUUGCAUUGCCGUACAAACGUUCUAUACUAGGAAGAACGAAGUAGAACGAAGAGAGGAAAGUUAAAAGUAUCGAAAGUUUCGAGCGGGUUACGUGAGCUUCCAAUGCGAUUUCCAAUUUGCGAUUAAACGUCGACCGAUUUGCAAUUUGAUGGAAGCUUCGCGGAUUUGAAUGGACACCGUGGGUGCUUGCUAUUUCAUUGAACGUCACAAUACACACUUUUUCCAACUUUGUUUCUCUCACAUUUUCUCCCCAUCUAUUUUACGUUAAUUUUGAUUAAAUAUUGAAGUCGACAUAUUGCAGGGUAUCGAAUUUUAAUCGACGUUACACAUGACUUGUACUAAUGUGAAAUAUAUACAUAUUAUCUGAA
rnacentral:misc_RNA from 1 species